GGUAUCUCCUCUCUGAUAAGGAGUUUUAAGGGAAGAAAGACAAAGAACGUGGUGAAGCAAUUCCAUGGGUACCUGGAGAAGGACUGAUCCAGGAAGAGAGCAUGGACAUGGAGGGUGUUCGGAAUUUCUGAGGACCAGCAAGAGGGACAGAUUGACUAGAACAGAAUAAAUGAAGGAGAAAUAUUAGGAGAUGGGAAUGGGCAGGGAUUCAAACCCAGGCAUCCUACUACAGAGCCUUGUUCUUAAAUAAUUCACACAGCAUAGAUGCCUGACUUUGAUUAUUUCCAUUUCCUUGGCAGGGGCUCUAUUGGAAUUCACCUUUUUCUCUACUUACAGAACUAGACUAUACUGCCUGUUGCCUGCAAUGAUAAAACGAAGAAAUAUUGUUCUGGGUUCUUAAAUGAAAACGCACUUUAUUGAGACUUGACUCAAGAAUUACAGAUAAAGAGAUGAAAAGAAAUACCUCCUGCCUCAGCCAUGAAGCCUUCACUGUAGAAACAACACAUGUGCUGACUGUCCCCUGGAACGGCCUCUCUCUUCAGGCCAACACAGUCCACUUUGGUUCUGCCAACCUGCUGACCAACCCCAACAGAUGGAAGGAAGGAAGAGAAAGCCGAGGUGCAGAUGACAUGGCUUAUGCAAUAUUUUUAUUGUGCCAGUAUUCAAAUGUAUUACAUUGAUUUGUUCUGACUGACAAUAAUGUGGAUGCUUUGAUAUCAGUGCGUUGGGUAUUAUCUUCAUUUUACAAAAGAGAAAAACAGACACUCAGACUAACCAAGUGACCUGGCCAAGGUCCCACUGUCACUCUUGACUAUGAAGUCAAAAUCCUUUACAGGGUUUAUCAGUCAGUGCCCUAGCAGGACACAGACAGCGUACUGAAAUUAGGAUAAUGUCAGGAGGGACUACUUAAAAUGGUGUGGAGAGUGUAGACGAACCACAAGGUAAAAUUCCUGUCCUUCUUAAGACUGGUGAGAGUGGAGCAGUUGCCACCAAUAGGCUGAUGAAAUAAGGGCAGAAAUGAUUACUCUGCGGGCUCCUAACCUUUUGUCACUCUGAUGAACUCCAAAGACCCUAUCUCAAGGGAAUGUCUUUAAAUGAAUUUAAUAAAAUACUAAUUACAGGGGGAGGAGCCAAGAUGGCCGAAUAGGAACAGCUCCGGUCU
rnacentral:lncRNA from 10 species